UACAGAGGUCCCAAGCGUUGUUCGGAUUUAUUGGGCGUAAAGGGUGCGUAGGUGGUUGGGUAAGUCUGAUGUGAAAUCUCCGGGCUUAACCCGGAAAUGGCAUUGGAUACUAUUCGACUAGAGGGUUGGAGGGGGGACUGGAAUUCUUGGUGUAGCAGUGAAAUGCGUAGAUAUCAAGUGGAACACCAGUGGCGAAGGCGAGUCCCUGGGCAACUCCUGACACUGAGGCACGAAAGCUAGGGGAGCAAACAGG
rnacentral:rRNA from 1 species